rnacentral:rRNA from 1 species
CACGUAGGGUGCGAGCGUUGUCCGGAAUUAUUGGGCGUAAAGAGCUCGUAGGCGGUGUGUCGCGUCGGCCGUGAAAACCUGCAGCUUAACUAUGGGCUUGCGGUCGAUACGGGCAUCACUGGAGUUCGGCAGGGGAGACUGGAAUUCCUGGUGUAGCGGUGAAAUGCGCAGAUAUCAGGAGGAACACCGGUGGCGAAGGCGGGUCUCUGGGCCGAUACUGACGCUGAGGAGCGAAAGCAUGGGUAGCGAACAGG